UUCUUUUGAAAGACCCCCGGAACGGGGAGACCCUCACUCAAGUCUUGGGAUGAUGCGACCCCCCAAGAACUCACGUGAGGCC
rnacentral:pre_miRNA from 14 species